rnacentral:rRNA from 1 species
GAUGAACGCUGGCGGCGUGCCUAAUACAUGCAAGUCGUACGGAAAGGCCCUUCGGGGUACUCGAGUGGCGGACGGCUGAGUAACGCGUGGGAACGUGCCCCAAAGUGAGGGAUAACGCACCGAAAGGUGUGCUAAUACCGCAUAUGGUCUUCGGAUUAAAGCUUAGGCGCUUUGGGAGCGGCCCGCGUACGAUUAGAUAGUUGGUGAGGUAAUGGCUCACCAAGGCGACGAUCGUUAGCUGGUCUGAGAGGAUGAUCAGCCAGACUGGGACUGAGACACGGCCCAGACUCCUACGGGAGGCAGCAGUAAGGAAUCUUCCACAAUGGGGGCAACCCUGAUGGAGCAACGCCGCGUGCAGGAUGAAGGUUUUCGGAUCGUAAACUGCUCUUAUAAGUGAAGAAUAUGACGGUAACUUAUGAAUAAGGAUCGGCUAACUACGUGCCAGCCGCCGCGGUAA